rnacentral:misc_RNA from 1 species
AACGCACCUUGCGCCCUUUGGCUAUUCCGAAGGGCAUGCCUGUUUGAGUAUCAUGAACACCUCAACUCUCAUGGCUUGCCGUGAUGAGCUUGGACUUUGGGGGUCUUGCUGGCCUGUGGUCGGCUCCUCUCAAAUGAAUCAGCUUGCCAGUGUUUGGUGGCAUCACAGGUGUGAUAACUAUCUACGCUUGUGGUUUUCCACCAGGUAACCUUCAGCGAUGAAGGUUCGCUGGGGCUCAUAAACGUCUCUCCUCAGUGAGGACAGCUCUUUGAACGUUUGAUCUCAAAUCAGGUAGGACUACCCGCUGAACUUAA